rnacentral:rRNA from 1 species
AUUGAACGCUGGCGGCAUGCCUAACACAUGCAAGUCGAACGGUAACAGGUCUUCGGAUGCUGACGAGUGGCGAACGGGUGAGUAAUGCAUCGGAACGUGCCCAGUAGUGGGGGAUAGCCCGGCGAAAGCCGGAUUAAUACCGCAUACGACCUGAGGGUGAAAGGGGGGGAUCGCAAGACCUCUCGCUAUUGGAGCGGCCGAUGUCAGAUUAGCUAGUUGGGGGGGUAAAGGGCUACCAAGGCAACGAUCUGUAGUUGGUCUGGGAGGACGACCAGCCACACUGGGACUGAGACACGGCCCAGACUCCUACGGGAGGCAGCAAUGGGGGAAUUUUGGACAAUGGGCGCAAGCCUGAUCCAGCAAUGCCGCGUGCAGGAAGAAGGCCUUCGGGUUGUAAACUGCUCUUGUCAGGGAAGAAAUCUUCUGGGUUAAUACCUCGGGAGGAUGACGGUACCUGAAGAAUAAGCACCGGCUAACUACGUGCCAGCCGCCGCAGUAAGAC